rnacentral:rRNA from 1 species
UACGUAGGGUGCGAGCGUUGUCCGGAAUUACUGGGCGUAAAGAGCUCGUAGGCGGUUUGUCGCGUUGUUCGUGAAAUCUCACGGCUUAACUGUGAGCGUGCGGGCGAUACGGGCAGACUUGAGUACUGCAGGGGAGACUGGAAUUCCUGGUGUAGCGGUGGAAUGCGCAGAUAUCAGGAGGAACACCGGUGGCGAAGGCGGGUCUCUGGGCCGAUACUGACGCUGAGACGCGAAAGCGUGGGGAGCGAACAGG